rnacentral:rRNA from 1 species
CCUACGGGAGGCAGCAGUGAGGAAUAUUGGUCAAUGGUCGGGAGACUGAACCAGCCAAGCCGCGUGAGGGAUGAAGGUACAGAGUAUCGUAAACCUCUUUUGUCAGGGAACAAAGGCGGGGACGUGUCCCCGGAUGAGUGUACCUGAAGAAAAAGCAUCGGCUAACUCCGUGCCAGCAGCCGCGGUAAUACGGAGGAUGCGAGCGUUAUCCGGAGUUAUGGGGUUAAAGGGGUGCGCAGGCGGUGUGUUAAGUCAGCGGUCAAAGCCCGGGGCUCAACCGCGGCCCGCCGUUGAAACUGGCAGUCUCGAGUUGGAGAGAGGUAUGCGGAAUGCGCGGUGUAGCGGUGAAAUGCAUAGAUAUCGCGCAGAACUCCGAUUGCGAAGGCAGCAUGCCGGCUCCACACUGACGCUGAGGCACGAAAGCGUGGGUAUCGAACAGGAUUAGAUACCCUAGUAGUC